CGAACGCUGGCGGCAGGCCUAACACAUGCAAGUCGAACGCUGUAGCAAUACAGAGUGGCAGACGGGUGAGUAACGCGUGGGAACAUGCCCUUCGGUUCGGAAUAACUCAGGGAAACUUGAGCUAAUACCGGAUACGCCCUUAGGGGAAAGAUUUAUUGCCGAAGAAUUGGCCCGCGUCCGAUUAGCUAGUUGGUGAGGUAAAGGCUCACCAAGGCGACGAUCGGUAGCUGGUCUGAGAGGAUGAUCAGCCACACUGGGACUGAGACACGGCCCAGACUCCUACGGGAGGCAGCAGUGGGGAAUAUUGGACAAUGGGCGCAAGCCUGAUCCAGCCAUGCCGCGUGAGUGAUGAAGGCCCUAGGGUUGUAAAGCUCUUUCGCCAGGGACGAUAAUGACGGUACCUGGAUAAGAAGCCCCGGCUAACUUCGUGCCAGCAGCCGCGGUAAUCUGAUGGCGCGAGG
rnacentral:rRNA from 1 species